rnacentral:rRNA from 1 species
UACGGAGGAUGCGAGCGUUAUCCGGAUUUAUUGGGUUUAAAGGGUGCGUAGGCGGCUUUUUAAGUCAGCGGUGAAAUUUUGCAGCUUAACUGUAACAGUGCCGUUGAUACUGGGGAGCUAGGAUUUAGUUGCUGUGGGUGGAAUGUGUGGUGUAGCGGUGAAAUGCUUAGAUAUCACGAGGAACUCCGAUUGCGCAGGCAGCUUACUAAACUACUACUGACGCUCAGGCACGAAGGCGUGGGGAUCAAACAGGAUUAGAUACCCCCGUAGU